AGCAAGUCCCCCGGUAGGGUGGCAAACGGGUGAGUAAUACAUGGGUGAUCUACCUUAGGGAUGGGGAUAUCCUUCCGAAAGGAGGGGCAAUACCGAAUAUUGUCCGGAGCCGUGAAGGGUUCCGGGGAAAGGGAGGCCUCUGAUACAAGCUUUCGCCUUAAGAUCGAGCCCAUGGCCCAUCAGCUAGUUGGUAGGGUAAAGGCCUACCAAGGCUACGACGGGUCGCUGGUCUGAGAGGACGACCAGCCACACUGGCACUGAGAUACGGGCCAGACUCCUACGGGAGGCAGCAGUGAGGAAUAUUGCGCAAUGGGGGAAACCCUGACGCAGCAACGCCGCGUGUGGGAAGAAGGCCUUCGGGUCGUAAACCACUUUUGCACGGGACGAAAAAGGGAUAUCGAACAAA
rnacentral:rRNA from 1 species